AUUGAACGCUGGCGGCAGGCCUAACACAUGCAAGUCGAACGAGUGGCGGACGUGUGAGUAAUGUCUGGGAAUCUGCCAGAUGGAGGGGGAUAACUACUGGAAACGGUAGCUAAUACCGCAUACCAUCGGAUGUGCCCAGAUGGGAUUAGCUAGUAGGUGGGGUAACGGCUCACCUAGGCGACGACCACUAUCUGGUCUGAGAGGAUGACCAGCCACACUGGAACUGAGACACGGUCCAGCCUCCUACGGUAGGCAGCAGUGGCGACUAUUGCACAAUGGGCGCAAGCCUGAUGCAGCCAUGCCGCGUGUAUGAAGAAGGCCUUCGGGUUGUAAAGUACUUUCAGCGAGGAGGCGUUACUCGCAGAAGAAGCACCGGCUAACUCCGUGCCAGCAGCCGCGGUAAUUC
rnacentral:rRNA from 1 species